rnacentral:rRNA from 1 species
CGUCAGCGCUAUUUGAGCACACCUAACAACGCCGGGUACUACGAGCUUAGCUUAAACCCAAAGGAUUUGACGGUGUUCCACCCAACUAGAGGAGCCUGUUCUGUAAUCGAUGAUCCACGAUAAACCUAACCAUUUUUUGCUACUCAGCCUGUAUACCGCCUUCUUCAGCAUACAGA